rnacentral:rRNA from 1 species
GAUGAACGCUGGCGGCGUGCCUAAUACAUGCAAGUCGAGCGAACAGACGAGGAGCUUGCUCCUCUGACGUUAGCGGCGGACGGGGGAGUAACACGUGGAUAACCUACCUAUAAGACUGGGAUAACUUCGGGAAACCGGAGCUAAUACCGGAUAAUAUAUUGAACCGCAUGGUUCAAUAGUGAAAGACGGUUUUGCUGUCACUUAUAGAUGGAUCCGCGCCGCAUUAGCUAGUUGGUAAGGUAACGGCUUACCAAGGCAGCGAUGCGUAGCCGACCUGAGAGGGUGAUCGGCCACACUGGAACUGAGACACGGUCCAGACCCCUACGGGAGGCAGCAGUAGGGAAUCUUCCGCAAUGGGCGAAAGCCUGACGGAGCAACGCCGCGUGAGUGAUGAAGGUCUUCGGAUCGUAAAACUCUGUUAUUAGGGAAGAACAAAUGUGUAAGUAACUAUGCACGUCUUGACGGUACCUAAUCAGAAAGCCACGGCUAACUACGU